GGAAUAUUGGUCAAUGGACGCAAGUCUGAACCAGCCAUGCCGCGUGGAGGAUGAAGGUCCUCUGGAUUGUAAACUUCUUUUAUCUGCGAAGAAACCCUUAUAUUCUUAUGAGGUUGACGGUACCAGAUGAAUAAGCACCGGCUAACUCCGUGCCAGCAGCCGCGGUAAUACGGAGGGUGCAAGCGUUAUCCGGAUUCACUGGGUUUAAAGGGUGCGUAGGUGGGCUAGUAAGUCCGUGGUGAAAUCUCCAAGCUUAACUUGGAAACUGCCGUGGAUACUAUUAGUCUUGAAUAUUGUGGAGGUAAGCGGAAUAUGUCAUGUAGCGGUGAAAUGCUUAGAUAUGACAUAGAACACCGAUAGCGAAGGCAGCUUGCUACACAAUCAUUGACACUGAGGCACGAAAGCGUGGGGAUCAAAC
rnacentral:rRNA from 1 species